rnacentral:rRNA from 1 species
AGAGUUUGAUCCUGGCUCAGGAUGAACGCUAGCUACAGGCUUAACACAUGCAAGUCGAGGGGAAACGACAUCGAAAGCUUGCUUUUGAUGGGCGUCGACCGGCGCACGGGUGAGUAACGCGUAUCCAACCUGCCCACCACUUGGGGAUAACCUUGCGAAAGUAAGACUAAUACCCAAUGACGUCUCUAGAAGACAUCUGAAAGAGAUUAAAGAUUUAUCGGUGAUGGAUGGGGAUGCGUCUGAUUAGCUUGUGGCGGGUAACGCCACCAAGGCUACGAUCAGUAGGGUUCUGAGAGGAAGGUCCCCCANAUUGGAACUGAGACACGGUCCAAACUCCUACGGGAGCA